rnacentral:rRNA from 1 species
UAUGGGGCGCCCAACAAAAAAAGAGCAGGUCUCGCAUUGUAGGUUGAUGAAGCGUUUCCUAGUGUUAGACCUUUCAGUUAAAGUUCCUUGGAACAGGACGUCAAAGAGGGUGAUAACCCCGUAAUUAACUGAAUGACACACCAGUCUAAUGCGCCUAUGGAGCGUUUUCUUAGAGUCGGAAUGUUUGGGAUUGCAUUCCAAAGCGGGUGGUAAACUCCAUCUAAGGCUAAAUACUGGCGAGAGACCGAUAGCGAACAAGUACCGUGAGGGAAAGUUGAAAAGCACUCUGGAGAGAGAGUCAAACAGUACGUGAAAUUGCUAGCAGGGAAACGUUGGGCACCAGUACACGGCAAUCAAUGUUAAUGAUCAGCCGGCCUAUUGGCGCGUUGUGGUGCGGCGACUAGUCUCGGGGAUUACCUUUGGUAACCCACGCAUUACAAGUGUGUUAACUGGCCGGUGCACUCUUUAACGGCCGGGUCAACAUCGGUUAACGCCGCCCGACAAGUCUAUAGACAAGGUAGCAUCCGUAAGCCUCGGCUUACUUUUGAACUUAUAGGUCUGUAGUACGAGGAUGGCGUUGACCGAGGAUAGGCGAUUCGUGCGCUUUGGCGCAGGGCGCGCUGGCCGAAUCAAGGCUGCCCGUGGUGCUAAGCAGCAUGCUGAUUAGUAUUCAUUCUAUUACACCUCGGUGUAAUAGCGGCGGUCGUUCGGCUAGAGC